AGUGAACGCUGGCGGUAGGCCUAACACAUGCAAGUCGAACGGCAGCACAGUAAGAGCUUGCUCUUACGGGUGGCGAGUGGCGGACGGGUGAGGAAUACAUCGGAAUCUACUUUUUCGUGGGGGAUAACGUAGGGAAACUUACGCUAAUACCGCAUACGACCUACGGGUGAAAGCAGGGGAUCUUCGGACCUUGCGCGAUUGAAUGAGCCGAUGUCGGAUUAGCUAGUUGGCGGGGUAAAGGCCCACCAAGGCGACGAUCAGUAGCUGGUCUGAGAGGAUGAUCAGCCACACUGGAACUGAGACACGGUCCAGACUCCUACGGGAGGCAGCAGUGGGGAAUAUUGGACAAAGGGCGCAAGCCUGAUCCAGCCAUACCGCGUGGGUGAAGAAGGCCUUCGGGUUGUAAAGCCCUUUUGUUGGGAAAGAAAAGCAGCAGGUUAAUACCCCGCUGUUCUGACGGUACCCAAAGAAUAAGCACCGGCUAACUUCGUG
rnacentral:rRNA from 1 species